UGCUGCCCUCCUUUGAUAUUUGUGCAUGGACUGAAGAAGAUGUGUUUUUCUGGAUGCAACAACUUACUAGAAAAGGCGAUGCUUCUGGUGAAAUGAGUGUAUAUGCUAGCUUGUUUAAGGAACAUCAUAUCACUGGGAAACGAUUGCUUCUUCUAGAAGAAGAGGAUUUAAAGGACAUGGGAAUUGUUUCCAGAGGACACAUCAUUCAUUUAAAGGUAUGUAACAGUGUAUGUUGAAUGUUGUAAUAGGUUAUAGUGUGAAUAUUAAG
rnacentral:lncRNA from 1 species